rnacentral:rRNA from 1 species
CCUACGGGGGGCAGCAGUGAGGAAUAUUGGUCAAUGGGCGCGAGCCUGAACCAGCCAAGUCGCGUGAAGGAUGACUGCCCUACGGGUUGUAAACUUCUUUUAUAAAGGAAUCAAAUGAUCCACGUGUGCGAUUUUGUAAGUACUUUAUGAAUAAGGAUCGGCUAACUCCGUGCCAGCAGCCGCGGUAAUACGGAGGAUCCGAGCGUUAUCCGGAUUUAUUGGGUUUAAAGGGAGCGUAGGUGGUUUGUUAAGUCAGUUGUGAAAGUUUGCGGCUCAACCGUAAAAUUGCAGUUGAUACUGGCAGCCUUGAGUACAGUUGAGGCAGGCGGAAUGCGUGGUGUAGCGGUGAAAUGCUUAGAUAUCACGAAGAACUCCGAUUGCGAAGGCAGCUUACUAGACUGCAACUGACACUGAUGCUCGAAAGUGUGGGUAUCAAACAGGAUUAGAUACCCCAGUAGUC